rnacentral:rRNA from 1 species
GACGAACGCUGGCGGCGUGCCUAAUACAUGCAAGUAGAACGCUGAAGGAGGAGCUUGCUUCUCCGGAUGAGUUGCGAACGGGUGAGUAACGCGUAGGUAACCUGCCUGGUAGCGGGGGAUAACUAUUGGAAACGAUAGCUAAUACCGCAUAAGAGUAGAUGUCGCAUGACAUUUGCUUAAAAGGUGCAAUUGCAUCACUACCAGAUGGACCUGCGUUGUAUUAGCUAGUUGGUGAGGUAACGGCUCACCAAGGCAACGAUACAUAGCCGACCUGAGAGGGUGAUCGGCCACACUGGGACUGAGACACGGCCCAGACUCCUACGGGAGGCAGCAGUAGGGAAUCUUCGGCAAUGGACGGGAAGUCUGACCCGAGCAAACGCCCGCGUGAGUGAAAGAAA